rnacentral:rRNA from 1 species
UCGAGCGAAUCGAUGGGAGCUUGCUCCCUGAGAUUAGCGGCGGACGGGUGAGUAACACGUGGGCAACCUGCCUAUAAGACUGGGAUAACUUCGGGAAACCGGAGCUAAUACCGGAUACGUUCUUUUCUCGCAUGAGAGAAGAUGGAAAGACGGUUUACGCUGUCACUUAUAGAUGGGCCCGCGGCGCAUUAGCUAGUUGGUGAGGUAAUGGCUCACCAAGGCGACGAUGCGUAGCCGACCUGAGAGGGUGAUCGGCCACACUGGGACUGAGACACGGCCCAGACUCCUACGGGAGGCAGCAGUAGGGAAUCUUCCGCAAUGGACGAAAGUCUGACGGAGCAACGCCGCGUGAACGAAGAAGGCCUUCGGGUCGUAAAGUUCUGUUGUUAGGGAAGAACAAGUACCAGAGUAACUGCUGGUACCUUGACGGUACCUAACCAGAAAGCCACGGCUAACUACGUGCCAGCAGCCGCGGUAAUACGUAGGUGGCAAGCGUUGUCCGGAAUUAUUGGGCGUAAAGCGCGCGCAGGUGGUUCCUUAAGUCUGAUGUGAAAGCCCACGGCUCAACCGUGGAGGGUCAUUGGAAACUGGGGAACUUGAGUGCAGAAGAGGAAAGUGGAAUUCCAAGUGUAGCGGUGAAAUGCGUAGAGAUUUGGAGGAACACCAGUGGCGAAGGCGACUUUCUGGUCUGUAACUGACACUGAGGCGCGAAAGCGUGGGGAGCAAACAGGAUUA